rnacentral:rRNA from 1 species
UACGUAGGGUGCAAGCGUUAAUCGGAAUUACUGGGCUUAAAGCGUGCGCAGGCGGUUAUGCAAGACAGAUGUGAAAUCCCCGGGCUCAACCUGGGAACUGCAUUUGUGACUGCAUAGCUAGAGUACGGUAGAGGGGGAUGGAAUUCCGCGUGUAGCAGUGAAAUGCGUAGAUAUGCGGAGGAACACCGAUGGCGAAGGCAAUCCCCUGGACCUGUACUGACGCUCAUGCACGAAAGCGUGGGGAGCAAACAGG